CAGGCUUAACACAUGCAAGUCGAGGGGCAUCAGGAAGAAAGCUUGCUUUCUUUGCUGGCGACCGGCGCACGGGUGAGUAACACGUAUCCAACCUGCCCUUUACUCGGGGAUAGCCUUUCGAAAGAAAGAUUAAUACCCGAUAGCAUAAUGAUUCCGCAUGGUUUCAUUAUUAAAGGAUUCCGGUAAAGGAUGGGGAUGCGUUCCAUUAGGUUGUUGGUGAGGUAACGGCUCACCAAGCCUUCGAUGGAUAGGGGUUCUGAGAGGAAGGUCCCCCACAUUGGAACUGAGACACGGUCCAAACUCCUACGGGAGGCAGCAGUGAGGAAUAUUGGUCAAUGGGCGCUAGCCUGAACCAGCCAAGUAGCGUGAAGGAUGAAGGCUCUAUGGGUCGUAAACUUCUUUUAUAUAAGAAUAAAGUGCAGUAUGUAUACUGUUUUGUAUGUAUUAUAUGAAUAAGGAUCGGCUAACUCCGUGCCAGCAGCCGCGGUAAUACGGAGGAUCCGAGCGUUAUCCGGAUUUAUUGGGUUUAAAGGGAGCGUAGGUGGACUGGUAAGUCAGUUGUGAAAGUUUGCGGCUCAACCGUAAAAUUGCAGUUGAUACUGUCAGUCUUGAGUACAGUAGAGGUGGGCGGAAUUCGUGGUGUAGCGGUGAAAUGCUUAGAUAUCACGAAGAACUCCGAUUGCGAAGGCAGCUCACUGGACUGCAACUGACACUGAUGCUCGAAAGUGUGGGUAUCAAACAGGAUUAGAUACCCUGGUAGUCCACACAGUAAACGAUGAAUACUCGCUGUUUGCGAUAUACAGUAAGCGGCCAAGCGAAAGCAUUAAGUAUUCCACCUGGGGAGUACGCCGGCAACGGUGAAACUCAAAGGAAUUGACGGGGGCCCGCACAAGCGGAGGAACAUGUGGUUUAAUUCGAUGAUACGCGAGGAACCUUACCCGGGCUUAAAUUGCAGUGGAAUGAUGUGGAAACAUGUCAGUGAGCAAUCACCGCUGUGAAGGUGCUGCAUGGUUGUCGUCAGCUCGUGCCGUGAGGUGUCGGCUUAAGUGCCAUAACGAGCGCAACCCUUAUCUUUAGUUACUAACAGGUUAUGCUGAGGACUCUAGAGAGACUGCCGUCGUAAGAUGUGAGGAAGGUGGGGAUGACGUCAAAUCAGCACGGCCCUUACGUCCGGGGCUACACACGUGUUACAAUGGGGGUACAGAAGGCAGCUAGCGGGUGACCGUAUGCUAAUCCCAAAAGCCUCUCUCAGUUCGGAUCGAAGUCUGCAACCCGACUUCGUGAAGCUGGAUUCGCUAGUAAUCGCGCAUCAGCCACGGCGCGGUGAAUACGUUCCCGGGCCUUGUACACACCGCCCGUCAAGCCAUGGGAGCCGGGGGUACCUGAAGUACGUAACCGCAAGGAUCGUCCUAGGGUAAAACUGGUGACUGG
rnacentral:rRNA from 1 species